UACAGCGCCGCGCUCUAUGUGUGUAGGGGACCUAUCCAUGCAUGAGGUGUGAUUGUGUAGGACACACAGAGUGUACUAGCUCUGUCAAAAGUUCUUAACCGACGGCAUCAUAUAAGACUUGGGUUUUACUGUACGCUGCGGUCGAAACUUUUCGCUGAUACGUGUACCUCCAGAACUACCUUAACGGCAGCAAGAACGGAAUUU